GAGGAAAAGAAACCAACCGGGAUUGCCUCAGUAACGGCGAGUGAAGCGGCAAGAGCUCAAAUUUGAAAGCUGGCCCCUCCGGGGUCCGCGUUGUAAUUUGCAGAGGAUGCUUUGGGUGCGGCCCCCGUCUAAGUGCCCUGGAACGGGCCGUCAGAGAGGGUGAGAAUCCCGUCUUGGGCGGGGUGUCCGUGCCCGUGUAAAGCUCCUUCGACGAGUCGAGUUGUUUGGGAAUGCAGCUCUAAAUGGGUGGUAAAUUUCAUCUAAAGCUAAAUACUGGCCGGAGACCGAUAGCGCACAAGUAGAGUGAUCGAAAGAUGAAAAGCACUUUGAAAAGAGAGUUAAACAGCACGUGAAAUUGUUGAAAGGGAAGCGCUUGCGACCAGACUCGCCCUCGGGGUUCAGCCGGCACUCGUGCCGGUGUACUUCCCCGGGGGCGGGCCAGCGUCAGCUUGGGCGGCCGGUCAAAGGCCUCCGGAAUGUAGUGCCCCCCGGGGCACCUUAUAGCCGGAGGUGCAAUGCGGCCAGCCUGGGCUGAGGAACGCGCUUCGGCACGGACGCUGGCAUAAUGGUCGCAAACGACCCGUCU
rnacentral:rRNA from 1 species